CCCCUCUCAGGAUCGCACCGGGAGAGUUUCCAGUACACUACCAGUUUCGACUUCGGGAGGGAGAGUCAAGCAGAGGCCUACCCAUUCCAUUUCUAGUUUUGGUAGUGGCUAGCGAGUGGAAGGCAAUCUGCUACAAGU